rnacentral:lncRNA from 1 species
GCAAGGUUAGGCAUAGGUCAGGCCUUGUUGUCUUUCUUUAGUCUGGUCAGCCCUAUAUGAGACAGAAAUGUGUAUUAAAGCAUAGGAAUAAUACUCUCUGGGACGUCAGCACUGAAACAGGUAUUGCCCUGUUCUUCUGAUCCCUUUUUCCAUUUGUGUCGGUUGGCAUAUGGCAUAUGGACGGGGGAUUAGACACAGAAGUCUUACUGACUAUUGUAUUUCUAGGUUGAGAAUGAAGAUGAGAUUAAGAAUCUCAGAGAGCUUCAUGAUUUGGUUUACUCUCAAGCCUGCAGCUGGUUUCAGAAUUUAAGAGACAGAUUUCGAAGCCAAAUUCUUCAGCAUUUCGGAUCAAUGCCCGAGAGGGAGGAAAACCUUCAGCCCCUAAUGGACCUGCAUGGUGUUGGUGGCUUCUUGCAGUUCUCCCUGUAGACCCACGAUACCAGCUGUCGGUUUUGUCAAUGAAGUCUUUGAAAGAACGGUUGACCAAGAUACAGCAUAUACUGACCUAUUUUUCUAGAGACCAAUCUAAGUAACUAACUCUUUGGAUCUCCCUUUAAAGUGACCCUAAUCUGGCUGCAUUGAUGGCCAGAUUGUCUGCUGCCUUUGCACAUCUAGUGCUGGUUUCAGAAAUUUAAUGAAACUUUUCUU